UACGAAGGGGGCUAGCGUUGCUCGGAAUGACUGGGCGUAAAGGGCGCGUAGGCGGCGAUCAAGGUCAGAUGUGAAAUUCCAUGGGCUUAACCUGGGGGCUGCAUUUGAUACGUGGUGGCUUGAGUGCGGAAGAGGGUCGUGGAAUUCCCAGUGUAGAGGUGAAAUUCGUAGAUAUUGGGAAGAACACCGGUGGCGAAGGCGGCGACCUGGUCCGUGACUGGACGCUGAAGGCGGCGAAAGCGUGGGGGAGCAAACAGG
rnacentral:rRNA from 1 species